GGAGAGAUGGCCGAGUGGUUUAUGGCUCCGGUCUUGAAAACCGGCAUAGUAUCAAGCUAUCGAGGGUUCGAAUCCCUCUCUCUCCU
rnacentral:tRNA from 1 species